rnacentral:rRNA from 1 species
ACUCAAAGGAAUAGACGGGGGCCCGCACAAGCGGUGGAACAUGUGGUUUAAUUCGAUGCAACGCGAAGAACCUUACCUACCUUUGAAUCCACGGAACGCUGCAGUGAUGUAGUGGUGCCUUCGGGAACCGUGAGACAGGUGCUGCAUGGCUGUCGUCAGCUCGUGUCGUGAGAUGUUGGGUUAAGUCCCGUAACGAGCGCAACCCCUAUCCUUAGUUACCAGCGAGUAAAGUCGGGCACUUUAAGGAGACUGCCGGUGAUAAACCGGAGGAAGGUGGGGAUGACGUCAAGUCCUCAUGGCCCUUACAGGUAGGGCUACACACGUGUUACAAUGGCCAGUACAGAGGGUUGCCAACCCGCGAGGGGGAGCUAAUCUCAGAAAGCUGGUCGUAGUCCGGAUUGGAGUCUGCAACUCGACUCCAUGAAGCUGGAAUCGCUAGUAAUCGCGGAUCAGAACGCCGCGGUGAAUACGUUCCCGGGCCUUGUACACACCGCCCGU